rnacentral:rRNA from 1 species
GAUGAACGCUAGCGGCAGGCCUAACACAUGCAAGUCGAGGGGUAUUUGGAGCUUGCUCCAAAGAGACCGGCGCACGGGUGCGUAACGCGUAUGCAAUCUACCUUUUACUAAGGGAUAGCCCGGAGAAAUCCGGAUUAAUACCUUAUAGUUUUUAGAAUUGGCAUCAAUUUUAAAAUAAAGAUUUAUUGGUAAAAGAUGAGCAUGCGUCCCAUUAGUUAGUUGGUGUGGUAACGGCAUACCAAGACGAUGAUGGGUAGGGGUCCUGAGAGGGAGAUCCCCCACACUGGUACUGAGACACGGACCAGACUCCUACGGGAGGCAGCAGUGAGGAAUAUUGGUCAAUGGACGCAAGUCUGAACCAGCCAUGCCGCGUGCAGGAUGACGGUCCUAUGGAUUGUAAACUGCUUUUAUACGGGAAGAAACACCUCUACGAGUAGAGACUUGACGGUACCGUAAGAAUAAGGAUCGGCUACCUCCGUGCCAGCAGCCGCGGUAAUACGGAGGAUUCGAGCGUUAUCCGGAAUCAUUGGGUUUAAAGGGUCCGUAGGCGGCCUUAUAAGUCAGCGGUGAAAGUUUUUGGCUUAACCAAAAAAUUGCCGUUGAUACUGUAGGGCUUGAAUAAUUUUGAAGUAACUAGAAUAUGUAGUGUAGCGGUGAAAUGCAUAGAUAUUACAUGGAAUACCCAAAUUGCGAAGGCAGGUUACUAAGAAUAUAUUGACGCUGAUGGACGAAAGCGUGGGUAGCGAACAGGAUUAGAUACCCUGGUAGUCCACGCCGUAAAACGUUGGGAACUAGAUGUAGGGCCUGUUCCACGGGUUCUGUGUCGUAGCUAACGCCAUUAAGUUCCCCGCCUGGGGAGUACGGCCGCAAGGCUAAAACUCAAAGGAAUUGACGGGGGCCCGCACAAGCGGCGGAGCAUGCGGAUUAAUUCGAUGCAACGCGAAGAACCUUACCAAGGCUUGACAUAUACGAGAACGGGUCAGAAAUGAUCAACUCUUUGGACACUCGUAUACAGGUGGUGCAUGGUUGUCGUCAGCUCGUGUCGUGAGAUGUUCGGUUAAGUCCGGCAACGAGCGCAACCCUCGUCCUAUGUUGCCAGCACGUUAUGGUGGGAACUCAUGGGAUACUGCCGUGGUCAACACGGAGGAAGGUGGGGAUGACGUCAAAUCAUCAUGCCCCCUAUGUCUUGGGCUUCACGCAUGCUACAAUGGCCGAUACAAAGGGCUGCGAUACCGUAAGGUGGAGCGAAUCCCAAAAAGUCGGUCUCAGUUCGGAUUGGGGUCUGCAACUCGACCCCAUGAAGUCGGAGUCGCUAGUAAUCGCAGAUCAGCAACGCUGCGGUGAAUACGUUCCCGGGCCUUGUACUCACCGCC